rnacentral:lncRNA from 1 species
GUUUGCUCGCGCGACGAUUUGUGGAUUUUCUGACGUCGUUUGCGUGGCUGCUCUGUUGGAGUUGUUGUUGAGUUUUUCUUUUCAAGUAAAAGAUGGAGAUCUUUAAUAACUUGUAGCAGCCUCCAUCAACUUAGUGACUGAAUUUAAACAGAGGUUCUAGUCCAGCAAGCAUUAUUGCAGCAUUAAUGAGUUCCUGAUUGGUGAAGUAUAGGGUGAUGGUGACAUGAAGGAAUGUGUUCCAGUUUUUUGGGCGUGGUUUAUUGAUGAAGCAUUCUGG